rnacentral:rRNA from 1 species
CUCUGGCCUCAAAUCAGGUAGGACUACCCGCUGAACUUAAGCAUAUCAAUAA